rnacentral:lncRNA from 1 species
GACGCCGUCUAGUGGAGCGCUGGAGAACUGCAGUUCAGGAUCAACACGAGCUGCAGCAGCACACAGGAGACUGAAGCUUUAAACUCAUCCAGUUGUAAACAAAGUCAUCAUUUUGACAGGAUUUCGACUCGCAAAACAUCAUGUCUUCUGGUGAUGGAUCUACACUGAUAUCUGUUCAUUACGCUGCACAUGUCGUCUCUCUCUCGUCUCUGAUGGACUCAGUUCAGCUCAUGCAGCUCUCUGAAACAUGCUGAGGAUUUCAAGAAGAGAGAAGCCAUGUGCAGGAUCUGGAAAUACAGCUUUACAUGUGAACUGAAGCCAUGAGGAAGAGGAAGGUGGUUCUUCAUCAUAUCCUCACUGAUGAAGCCCUGACUUUACACUCUUUACCUAUAAUGUCCACCUGAUUACGGGCCUGUUUCAAUACACACACGUCUGCUCUUGAACACAUCAAAGCAUCUGAACAUGAUAUCUGAGGCUGAACGUUUCCCAUCAGGCAUCAUGUUCUAGUUCUAGUCUUCAGUGUUAAAGUUAUGCUGAUAAGAUCUAUAACCUGACAGUAAAAAUAAAGAAUUGCAGCAUUUAUGACUGUCAGAGCAGUCAGAUUGAGCUCAUUACUGUCACCUCAUUUACAGAUAAUAAACUACUGCUGCAGGUAAAGUGUAGACAGAGCACACGUGUCCUGUAAGAGCAUCAGACAUGUCGACUCCUGCAGUCUGAUAUUGAACACUUGAUCAAACACAGAAAACAGCAGCAAGAACACAAGAGCUCAAAGCAAAGACAGCAAGUGUUGCUAUUAAGACAGGCCCGAUUUUACACGUCACUAACUUAUUGAUUAUUAAUGUCUGCUGAUUAUUAAUGUCUGCUGAUUGUUAAUGUCUGCUGAUUAUUAAUGUCUGAUGAUUAUUAAUGUCUGCUGAUUAUUAAUGUCUGAUGAUUGUUAAUGUCUGCUGAUUAUUAAUGUCUGAUGAUUAUUAAUGUCUGCUGAUUAUUAAUGUCUGAUGAUUAUUAAUGUCUGAUGAUUUAAUGUCUGCUGAUUAUUAAUGUCUGAUGAUUAUUAAUGUCUGAUGAUUAUUAAUGUCUGAUGAUUAUUAAUGUCUGAUGAUUAUUCAUGUCUGAUGAUUAUUCAUGUCUGUCAUCUAAACUGAGCUUGUUGAUUUGGUCAGACAGAAUCAGCUAAAGUAAGAUGCUCUUACCGUCUGGUUCUUCUAGACGUCUCUUCUAGCUCAGGCUGAAUGUCUGUGUGAAGAUAAAGAGACUCGAGUGGUGAUGAUUGAUGCUUUUCAAUAUUUCAGCUCAUUUGUUUUAAAGAUCAGCUUAAACUAUAUUGUAGAUUCAUCACAUCAGCGCCCUCUAGUGGAGAAACACUGACAUCUCAGGAUUUUGUUGAGCAUCUUUCUAAAAUCAGGAUGGCAGAAAAAUGUGUGCUCUGAACCACUGAUUCAAUCAAAGAGUCAAAAUAAAGAUUCAAAUCAAAGAAUCAAUUUAAAGAAUCAAAUUAAAGAUUCAAAUGAAAGAUUCAGAGUUUAAUGAAUCAGUGAUUCAAAAGCAGCAUCACUGCAUUUUAGAGAUUUGUCUCACCUAUGUUUGAGUCGCGUCUUCUCUUCACACUCCUUUACUUUCCAUCUGUGCUGUGAAUAAAAACAUACAAACAU